CUACGGGAGGCAGCAGUCGAGAAUUUUUCACAAUGGGCGCAAGCCUGAUGGAGCGACGCCGCGUGGGGGAUGAAUGGCUUCGGCCCGUAAACCCCUGUCAUUUGCGAUCAACCGUUAUUGUUUAAGAGAUGAUAACCUGAUAGUAGCGAAAGAGGAAGGGACGGCUAACUCUGUGCCAGCAGCCGCGGUAAUACAGAGGUCCCAAGCGUUGUUCGGAUUCACUGGGCGUAAAGGGUGCGUAGGUGGCGAAGUAAGUCGGAUGUGAAAUCUCCGAGCUCAACUCGGAAACUGCAUUGGAAACUACUUUGCUCGAGGAUUGGAGGGGGGACUGGAAUACUUGGUGUAGCAGUGAAAUGCGUAGAUAUCAAGUGGAACACCAGUGGCGAAGGCGAGUCCCUGGACAAUUCCUGACACUGAGGCACGAAAGCUAGGGGAGCAAACAGGAUUAGAUACCCCGGUAGC
rnacentral:rRNA from 1 species